GACCUGACCACCUUAUGCAGGGAUUCACUGAAGAAACAGUGCUGUCAUGUAAUUACAAGCUAUGGUAAUGGUACACGGGGCCCUCCCUAAGGUUGCACAGACAACAUUAGCUGUGGCAUUUCCUAACUUUUAAGUGUUUGACUUAGUAACAUUAGCAUUACAGUAAUGCAUUUUCAGUAUAAUUUCUCAGCGUUUUCUUUACAAGUCAACCUAGAAGCUGUUGCAGGCUGCUGCGGAGGCUGGGCGGGCUGGCACCUGUGGAGCUGUAAUACAGGACUCCACCACUCCGGCCGGCAGCGCCAGCAGCAGCUCCACUGAAACGGCGCUGACGAGGGCAUCAGCCACUGGGAGACUGUGAGGACCCUUCAUUCAGUGACUUGACAGUGUCUUCCUGACGAGGAAAGUUCUGAGAAACAGGAGCCCCAAUCUGACCCUCAAGGAGGAGAGCAAAGUACACUGCCACGGGAAGAGACUCUUUGGACCCUGGCUCCCCAAACCCGCACAUCUGCUGCUGCUGUUGGAUUUGCUUCCAUUCAGUUGACUCCACGGACUGCUGCUCCUCUUGCUUUGUAGCUUACUUUCUCUCAUGUUAUUUCUCCCUCCCCAGACUACUCCUUGUCACAGUCUGUUCUUUAUCCCAUUGCCCUAAAAGAAGCAUUUCCUCAAAUAACUCUUCCCCUCUGCUCUACCCCAGGCAUGAAUAUACCCUGAGCACAGAGGAAAGCAAACUGCUUAGCAUGGUAAAUUAGGCCACGUGGUGUUUCAGGCUGCCUUAACUAGACCACUCCUUGCAAGACUGUUUAAAACUAACUCGGGUAUCAUAAUUUGCAAUCCACAGUGUAGACAUAUCAAAAUGUCCUUGUUCUCAUUUCCACUGCUUGCUGCCAUAGCAACCCCUGGUCAAAAGGAAAUUUCCAUUGAUAUCAGAAGGAGCAGCAUUUCACCCAGCAAAGUUUUCAGUCUGAAAACUUGCAGCCCAAACUCCUUAAGAUGCAGUCCUGCAAAGGCAGCUGAGCUGAAGAACAUAAACCUGUUGGAGUGGAGUGGGAGCAAAGAGGAUUCUGUGAAGUGUCUGCUGCUUCCUAAAUGCAUCCCAUAUGCACCCAUGCCAUUAAAUUAUGCCAGUUCUUGUAUGGACUACAAUGGGAAAUUCUAACACUGUUUACUAGAUUUGUUUCUCCUACUUCAAUCAUAGUUGAAAUGUAAUUGUAAUAAAUCUUCUGUUUGUUAGGGGUUUUUUUUGGGU
rnacentral:lncRNA from 1 species